AAUCAACGCUGGCGGCGUGCCUCAGACAUGCAAGUCGAACGCGAAAGGUUCCUUCGGGGACCGAGUAGAGUGGCGCACGGGUGAGUAACACGUAGGUAAUUUGCCUUUGGGUGGGGAAUAACUCAGGGAAACUUGAGCUAAUACCGCAUAAUGCAGCGGCUCGACAUCGAGACAGUUGUUAAAGCGGGGGAUUCGCAAGAACCUCGCGCCUAAAGAGAAGCCUGCGGCAGAUUAGCUAGUUGGUAAGGUAAUGGCUUACCAAGGCGACGAUCUGUAACCGGCCUGAGAGGGCGGUCGGUCACACUGACACUGACAUACGGGUCAGACUCCUACGGGAGGCAGCAGUCGGGAAUUUUGGGC
rnacentral:rRNA from 1 species